rnacentral:rRNA from 1 species
AACGAACGCUGGCGGCAUGCCUAACACAUGCAAGUCGAACGAGACCACAGGGACUAGUGGCGCACGGGUGUGGCACGUGUGGGACCCUGCACUUAGGCAUGGAAUAAUACUUUGUCGGGGGUGCUAAUACAGGAAAAUGUACUCUAAUAAAAGAUACAUCGUCCUUGGAUGCGCAGGGGUUGGUCUAGCUUGUUGGUAGGGUAAAAGCCUAUCAAGGCGACGUUCGAUAGCUGGUCUGAGAGGAUGGGCAGCGACACUGAGACUGAGACACGGCCCAGACUCCUACAGGAUGCAGCAGUGGGUAAUAUUGGACUAUGGGCUAGAGGCUGAACGAGUUAGGCCUCUAGAGUGAUUAAGUCCGUAGAGUUGUAAAGCACUUUAACCCGCGAUUAUUCUGACAGUACCGAGAGAAUAAGCUCCGGCUAACUCCGUG